rnacentral:rRNA from 1 species
AUUGCAGCCUGCAACUCGGCUGCAUGAAGCUGGAAUCGCUAGUAAUCGCAGAUCAGAAUGCUGCGGUGAAUACGUUCCCGGGUCUUGUACACACCGCCCGUCACACCAUGGGAGUUGGGAAUGCCCGAAGUCAGUGACCCAACCGCAAGGAGGGAGCUGCCGAAGGCAGGCUUGAUAACUGGGGUGAAGUCGUAACAAGGUACC